rnacentral:lncRNA from 1 species
GUCGGCGCCGACGAGCCAUCCGUCGGGACCGCGCUCGGCCGUCGGCGGCGCGCACGUACGUCGCCACAUGUCAAAGGCCAGGGGUUCGGCCAGUUCCAUGGGCAACCCCGUCGGGUCAAAGCGGGCGUGGGUGGCGCGCGCAGCGGCAUCGCUGGCGAGACGCGCGAGGGUCCCAACCUGCGUGAUGGGCGCAAACGGGUCGGGCGACGGCCGCACGUCGGACCGGUAGAGUUGGAUGGCGGUGGCGCCCGCGUCGGCGCCGGCCAUUUGCGACAACAAGAGCGCCAGUGAGCACGCGUCGAGCCAGGCCGCCCAGGUCUUGGAGCGGCCGUCGAGUCGCAUGAUGCGACCGGGCGACCACCGGCGCACGGCGUCGAGCACGGCCGGCGGCAGUUCGGCCCACGACGACAAGGGACGCAUGAUAGCGCGCACAGCGAGCACGGCAUCGCCGACCCCGACAUCGAUCUCGUCGUCGGGCAGACCGGCGCCGUCGAGUAUCCACGGCACAAAGGCCGCAUAGGGCCGCGCCUGCGGCGGCAACGCGUCGAGAUCGCCGCCAAAAUCGCGAUCGGGCGCCAUUGACCCGAGCACGCGCGCCUCGGCGCCGCCGUCCGUGACGGCCACCAGAUGUACGGUGGCGCCCUGCGACCCACGCUCGGCCAAUACCAGGUAGAGCGCGCUGUCUCCACCGUUAUGGGGGUCGCACCGCGGAUCAGCCGCGCGCGGCCAAUCGCCCAUGAUGGCGCGCAGCGUCGGACUGCCCUGGGCGUUCAUUUCCGUGCGUCGCGCAUAGGCCGCCAUGCGACUCUCUGUGCGACGGCGAUACAGGCCGCCGAUGUUGCGCACAAGCCUGACCAGGCCCUGUGCGCGGGUGGCCUCUUGCCCAAUGAUCUCCUGCGCGGCAAAGUGUGCCUCGGGUGUGCCGACGAGACUCGUGUACACGCCCAGGGCGUCUUCGAUGGUGGGCGGCCAUUGCGGUUGCGUGCCAGACGAUGCCAGAGCGUACUUGAUCGCCGACGACGCCCACGGAUCGGCGUCAAUCGCCUCCCACAUGGUCGCGUGUGUUUCGGCAAAGGCGCAGCCGUCCCACCCCUCUCCGUCGCCCCAGUCGUCAAAGAAUGCCCGCUCGUCGAGGCGUGCGAGAAGUGGGUCAGAGGCAAUUUCGGCACUUUGAUCGCCGUCGGCAUUUGUGCUCCAUGCGCGGCAGGCCGCCUCUAGACGCGCCACGUAAGAGGCGGCGCGUCCGUCGGCAGGCGUGUCAGCGACGAGACCCUCGGGAAGGGCGUCGGCGGCCAGCAGGGCCGGCGCGGUCGUUGCGGGCUCUUCCAUCGGCCAGGACCCUCGCACAAUGUUUCUCCUCGACAAUGUGUACACCGAUCCGGUGCGCUUGGUUUUUUUGGUGUCGCGUGGCGGCGUCGCCUUUGCGGCCGACCCCAACAAGACGAAAAGAAAAAAACACGCACGAAAAUAAACAAGACCUUCCUCC